AUUCAAAAUAUAAAGCAGAAGGGCACAUCCGCUGAAAAUUAAGAAAAGAAUUAAGCGGAAGAAAAGAAAAUAACAAUGAUUCCUGUAGUAACCGUGAGUGAAAAAGGAUAAGCUCAAAGUGGAAAAUCUUUUAUAUAUAAAGGCUGGGCCCCCCACGUGUCCCACUAAUGUAUAUAUACACAUAUGGUGCGGGGCUGGGUGUAGUGUUUUGGCUUUACAAAAGAAUUGUCACUUUUAUAUAAUGAAAGAUGAUUUAUAUAUACAUAUAUAUUUAAUUAUAUAUAUAAAUAUAUACUUGGUAAUAUCAUUAAACUUCCUAAAGAAUUUUUAAAAGUACAUAUAUACAUAUAUAUUAUUAUAUAACGAAAUAUGCAGGAGCGCACUUCCAUAGAGGGUGAAAGACCCGUAGUUUAUAAAUAUAUAAAUAUAUAACAAAGAGGGGGAAGAAGAACGGUUGAAGUUGAAUUGAUUUUCCUUAUCGCCUUUUCUUAUCUCUUUAUUUCUUUUUGGAAAUCUUUCAUUUUCGAGUCGUGUUCGAUGAGAUUGGGACACUAAUACGUGUGAUUAAACAAUUUCACAUAAAGCUAAAUAUAUAUAGGAGACCGAUAGCAAACAAGUACCGUAAGGGAAAGAUGAAAGAGUACUCAGGAAUGAGGUAUUAAAUAGAAUCUGAAAUCGUUAAGGUGGAAAGGAUUAAAGAAGACAAGAAGUAACGUGUGUUAAUUUUUUGUAUUUCUUUUGAAGGUCAUAUUUUGCUGGUGGAGAUGAUGUCCAAGAACAUUGGCGAGAUUGAUUUAUCGCCCAGAAUUGUGUGAGCGUGGAAGUACCUGAUGUAAUCUUCUCCUCCCAAUUUUGCGAGCGUGUAAAUCCAGAUCAAAUAUCUGGCUCAUGAUAUUGGCAUAUGAUUUUCAUCGCUAUACAGUUGACGUGCUUUAUUUAAAGAAACAUCAGCGAAAAAAAAAAAAAAAAAAAAAAGGAAUUUUUUUUUUUUUUUUAGGAAUGUAAAAGAAUAGAAGGAAAAUAAAAUAUAAUAAACGAUCUCGCAAGAGGGAGGAAUUUAUUUAUUUUUACCUAUUUUUACACAUAUCCGUUUUUUGCUGAGGGAGAUUUUAAAAAUUGUAGGAAAAAAAAAAAAAAAAAAAAAAAAAGGAUAAAGUUUUGAGAACUCGAAAUUUAUAUUUUUUUUUUUUUUUUUUUUUUUUUUAUUUUCUUACCUUUUAAGAUGUUUCUAAAAAGUCUUCUUUAACCGUCUCGUUUUGAAACACGAACCAAGGAGUCUAACACAUGUGCAAGCGAACGUGUAAUGUUGAAAGAUAAACAUAUGUCCCAAAAGAUGGGUGAGGUGAUACGGUACUUUACAUAUGGGUAUUCGUAUAUAUGUUAAAUAUACGUAAUAUUUGUGUGUGUUUAAGGCCGUAGAAUGAUCCAAUAUCCCGACUUAGUUUCGCGUCGGCAAUGAGCAUGAAAAAAAAAAAAAAAGCCAUUGUUUUUCAUAUUGUAGAAAUUGGAAUAUAUUUUGUGUGUGUAUAUGUAUGGUGUGUUGUAUAUCAUCGUGUUUUUUUUUUUUUUUUUUUUUUAAAAAAAAGAAGGGAAAAAAUGCUUUGAUAUAUAACAUAUUAUAUAUAUACAUACAUGUGAUUAAAUGCCAAAAUGCAUACAACUUUUUUUAGUCGGUUUUUAUAUAAUAAUAAAAAUGCCGUACAAUUUUUUUCUAGAUGAGCACAUGUGGUAGGACCCGAGAGGCUUUGAACUAUAUUAAACGUGAUGAAUUUUGAAAAGCACAAUAAAUUUUAUAAAUAAAAAAUUGGAGGAUAAAAUUUAUUUGUGUGUUUUUAUACAUUUCAAAAAGUUCAGCAUUAAACACGUUUUAUAGGAAGGAUAUAUAUAUAUACCUUUUUCUGAAAAGCUUAUUAGCUGGUUAUUUUCGAAAGAUCUCUCAAGAUCGCUGGAGUUUAUUAUUAUAAUUUUAUCAGAUAUUUGGAAGACAAUGAAUAUAUAUGGAAGAAUAAGGUAGUUUAACAUAUAUAUAUAUAUGUACCUAUAUUUUCAAAGUCUUACUUUUCUAGGUAAUCAUAUAAGAGUUAAAAAAAAAUAUAUCUUAAUAGUAUAUUUUUUUUUUAAUUAUUACUCAAAAAAUGUAUGAAUAGAAUAAGAUAACUCCAAGUGUGCCAUUUUUGGUAAUCAAAAACUGGUGAUGAGGGAUGCUCCUAAUGCUUGGAUAAGGUGCCUAAAUAUUCGCUCAUUAGACUCCUAAAAUAAUAGGUGUUACUUCAUUAUGACAGUAGGACGGUAAUCAUUGAAGUCGAAAUCCGCUAAGGAGUGUGUAACAACUCACCUACCGAAUGAUCUAGCCCUGAAAAUGGAUGGCGCUAAAGUGAAUUACCGAUACCAAGCCAUAAAAAGUGAAAUGGCUUUUGAACAAAGUCGAUCUAACGUUAUUUUUUUUUUUAACAACUUUUUAUGAGUAGAAAAUCGUGGGGUUUAGUAUAGAAGCGAAAUGCGUGAGCAUUCGUGGAACAUAUCCCUAGUGCAGAUCUUGGUGGAAGUAGCAAAUAUUCAAAAUGAAAUAUUUUUGAAGGCCUAUUAUAAAAAAAAAUACAAUAUAGAAACUACUGUAUUGUAUAAAAGAUAUACUUUUUUUUUUAAAUAAAUAUGUGUGUUAUUUAGCUUACAGCCAUAUAUUUUUUUCUCCAUAUGGAAACUAACUAAAUGAUAGCCGCUCCCCUGAAAUCACUCUUUUUUUUUUUUUUUUUUUAACAUUUCCAAAAGAAAAAAAAAAAAAAAAAAAAAAAUUAUGUGCGAUGUAAAAAAAUUUGUGAAGAAAAAAAUAAAUGUUGUUCCCAUAAGUUAACGUGUAAUUAUUUAGCAUAAUUUUAUACCAUUUUGGCCAUAGAUAUUAUUUUUUUUUUUUAUAAAUUAUUAGUUUUAUGGGGGUAAUCAGGUUUAUAAACCCUGAGCCGAUAAUUUUUCGAGUAUUAUUAUUGUAAAUAAUGUAGCUGGCAACGGAGUUUUGUAUAUAAAGAAAUACAAAAUUUUGAAACCCUAUUGAAGAUAAUUCGAUCCCAACGAUGUAUCAUGAUAAGAUGGAGAAUAUAUAUGUAUGUAUUAAUUUAUGAUAUAUAUUAUAAUAUACCCAUAUUAUCAUGUAUUACAAAAAAAUAAAAUAAUGAAGUGGAAACCUCGGAGUAUGUGUGUAAUACAAUAUUUUUGUAUUACACAGUAAUCUUAUGAAGAUGAGAAAAGUAUGACUAUAAUACGUUUUUUGCUUUGUUCAUGAGUUUAAAAUGGGAUAGCAGCCAGAAAAAAAAAAAAAAAAAAAAAAAAACGUAAAAAUGGGAUAAAUAAUGAAUAAAAAAAAAAAAAAAAAAAGCUGUACAUGUGUGUGAGGAAUAAAAAAUAGGAAAAUUGAUAUAUAGCUGUAGAAAUUUCGAUUUUUAUGGUUAUAAUAUAUUUUCUUAUUUUUAUAUCGCAUUCACAUAUACAGCUUUUUUUUUUUUUUAUUCAUUUUUUAUUCCAUUUUUAUGCUAUUUUUUUUUUUUUUCUUUUUUUUUUUUGGCUAGUAUUCCACUUUAUUGCUCAUUAUUUUUUAUAGUUCGUAUUACAAACACACUUAUAUGAGUGUGACGAAUUAUUCGAUGCGGAUGAGUUAUUGUAUAUUAUAUGAUAGGAUGGAAAACACCGAAUCGUGUUAUGAAGCCAAUCCGUUUGGGGUUUCCUAGGCGGCUUAUAUAUCUUCGGAUGUGUACCGUUUGUAGACGUAUUUCAUUCGGGUGAGCCAUACCACGCUUUAUAAUUCGUAUACUUGAUUAAUUAUGUAAAAGUUGUAUCUGUAAGCAGAAAGAUAUCUGAACUGGUUAGUAGCCGUAGGUCGUAAAUUAAUAGAUAUAAAGUAAUGAAUAAAGUGGGGACACACACAAAAAGGAGCAUUAUAUUAGUAUAAAAAAUGUAUAUAUAUGUGAAUACAUAUAUAAUGUAUAUGUUGCAGACUAUUUUGAAGACAAUUUGAAUGGAAUGUAUAUAUACACAUGUAUUAUAUAUGUAUGUACAUAUGUAUAUAUUUUAUAUCAUGUAUAUAUGUAUCCAUCCGUAACUUCCUUGAUAAGAAGUUUGUUUUGAGGGCAUAGGAAUGGAGGAGAUAUAAAAAAAGUAAAAAGGAACAUAGGGAAAUGGGAACAGGAAUAAGGGAAAUGUAAAGGGGUCUCUAUCUUUCCAUUUUUACUGUUUUUAUAACUCUUUUUGAUGCAAAAUCAUAUCCAUUCACCGUUUUGGUUAGGCUAUCAUGUAUAUAUAUAUAUAUAUGUAUGUUAAUAUGCAUACAGUAGUAGGAGAAAAAUAAAUAAGGGGAAAAGAGCCUAUAUUAUUAUUUCUAUAAUAUAUAUAUAUACUCUCUUUCCAAUUAAUUAUUAAACCUAAUACUAUUGUUUGUGUAAGCUUAAUAUGCUGUUAUCAAGAACUGAAUCGGAACAAGGGGGAUUUUUUUAACAGGUUCUUUGAGGAAGAAAAAAAAGAAUCAUAUAUUUAUUUUGCAAAUUUGUUGUGUAUAUGUUCUAUAUCACUAUUGCAAAUGCAAUUUCUGACUAUUGCUUAGAAUGUCAAUUUGAAGAUACUUCUGAAAACAAUGUUUUAGUGUAGAUAUAUACAGAUAUUUAUGUAUUAGUUUAUAUAUAUACAGGAAUAUCUACACACAUUGGGCAUAUAAUAAAAUGGGUCAGGAUAAGAAAUUUUUAAAAUGGGGGAGAAAAAAGGAAAGGAAAAUUUUUCUUCCCCAAAAAAAAAAAAAUAAAAAUAAUAUAUGAAUUCCUUAAACCAGUUAAAGUGUUGUGUCAGUGUGUAUAUUUUAUUAAGAAAUAUAUAUUUUUGGCACGUAACAUUUUGAUUGGAGUAACCAUUAUCCCUGCACCACUUUAUAUAAAUAUACAUUACUAUCUAGUGAAACCACAUCCAAGGGAACAGGCUUGGAGUGUCAGUAAAGGAAAUAGAAGACUUAGUGUUAACUCGACUCUUAGUUUGGCACUGCACAGAACGACCCAAGAGGUGCAGCCAUAAGUGGAAGUAGAAGAAUUGAAAUUAUAUUAUAAGGAUAUACAUUUGUUUUUUUACGACAAGUGAAAUACCACUACUUUUGGUGUUGUUCCUGCUUAUCCAUUUGUAGAAAAGGGAAAAACAGGGAAAGUUGGGGAUAGAAAUAUACAUAUGUACACAUAUAUGUACACUUAUUUAUCACGUUCUGUAAUAUAUAAGGUUGAUAGGAAGGAAGAAUUUUUUUUUUUUUUAAAAUUUAAAUUUGGACUUAUCUCGCACAUGUAUACAUGUAUGUAUAUAUAUUACUCUCCCCCCACACUUAAUAUGGAUGGAGACAAUGCCAGCUGAAGAGUUUAAGCGAAGGCUAAAAGUGUGAUGAAAACUAAUCUGUUUAGGAGCACAUAGAACAGAUAUAAAAAGUUUCUUCAUUACAGAGAAAGCUCAAAGAGAACAGAAAUCUCUUGUUGACCUUAAGUGGGGAAAACGCUUAUAUAUCUUUACAUCUUCAUGUAGAUGUUUAGAUAUACUUAGCCAUACGCAUAAGUAAUCCCGCACAUAUAUAUUUAUGUGUAUAUAUUAUAUUUAUAGAUAUUUUGCACUAUAACAGAAUGGGCUCCUUUUUCUAUAGGUAGUAUGCAGAUAUACAAAAAAUGGGAUUGUAAAAAAAUAUAGAAGAGUUAGCACAGAAGAUAACUGUCUUGUGGCUGCCGAACGUGAUUUAGUAACGUAGCUUUGUGAUAAAUGUUUUAGACUCUUCCUAUCAUUGGGACGAAGAAGUCUCAAAGUGUCGGAUUGUUCACUCUGUUUAAAAGGGAACGUGAGUCAUAAUUUUUAGACCUUUGUGAAUGAGGUUAUAUAUUAUAAAUUCCUACUGAUGAUUUAUAAAAUUUAUGGUUGUUAAGAACCAUUUAUCGAAAUGUGACAGUAGACCAUAUUAGUACGAGAGGAACAUUUGGUCCAGACCACGGGUACAGCGAUUAGUUGAAAAACUUGUAAUUGCGAAGCCACAUUUGUCUGUUGGAUAAUGGCUGAAUGACUCUAAAGCCAGAACCCAUGCUGAUUAAUAUUUUGAUCUCGCUCUUUCUGAAAAAUUUUUUUACGAU